rnacentral:rRNA from 1 species
ACCGCACAAGCGGUGGAUGAUGUGGAUUAAUUCGAUGCAACGCGAAGAACCUUACCAAGGCUUGACAUACACCGGUAACGCCCAGAGAUGGGUGCCCCUUUGUGGUCGGUGGACAGGUGGUGCAUGGUUGUCGUCAGCUCGUGUCGUGAGAUGUUGGGUUAAGUCCCGCAACGAGCGCAACCCCUAUUGUUAGUUGCCAUCAUUCAGUUGGGCACUCUAGCGAGACUGCCGGUAAUAAACCGGAGGAAGGUGGGGAUGACGUCAAAUCAUCAUGCCCCUUAUGACCUGGGCUACACACGUGCUACAAUGGUUGGUACAACGAGUUGCGAGUCGGUGACGGCGAGCUAAUCUCUUAAAGCCAAUCUCAGUUCGGAUUGUAGGCUGCAACUCGCCUACAUGAAGUCGGAAUCGCUAGUAAUCGCGGAUCAGCACGCCGCGGUGAAUACGUUCCCGGGCCUU